UACGUAGGGGGCGAGCGUUGUCCGGAUUUAUUGGGCGUAAAGAGCGUGUAGGCGGUCAGGUAGGUCUGCUGUGAAAACUCGAGGCUCAACCUCGAGACGUCGGCGGAAACCAUCUGGCUAGAGUCCGGAAGAGGAGAGUGGAAUUCCUGGUGUAGCGGUGAAAUGCGCAGAUAUCAGGAAGAACACCCGUGGCGAAGGCGGCUCUCUGGGACGGUACUGACGCUGAGGAGCGAAAGCAUGGGGAGCGAACAGG
rnacentral:rRNA from 1 species